ensembl:lncRNA
ACUUUUCAAGCAGUGGCUUGUGCAGUGGUUGGGUUAGACUUGAACUGAAGUCUGCUGUGUAAAAUGGUCCUAAUCCCACUCACACCUGAUUAGUUGCCAGCCUAUAAAUAUGUCCUUGUCAGGGUCACAUGCUUGUUAGGACAGUGUCUCAGACGUCCUUUGCAGCAAGGGAAAGGGCACAGCCGUAGCGAUAUGUUUGGUCCUGUUUCGUGGAUGUGGUGAGGUAUAGCUUGAAGCCUUGAGUGACAUUUUAUGGACAUUGGGCUUUGCUGACAGCAUAACCCAACGUAAUCCUUUUUGCAGCUGGUUUCUUAUUACAGCACCAUUUUGACUGUUUUGUACUGAAUGCAGCCUUCAUAAUAGUCCAGUGUGGUGAUUACUGUUAAACUUGGAUUCCACAGCACUGCAGUGUUCAUUUCCAUUUAGAUUAAAUAUAAAACUACAAAAUAAAAAGCAGUAUAAUGAUAAUUACUGAUAACUACAUGACUCAGUAAGACCAAUGUUUAAUCAAUGUUAUGUUUCACCUUUUAACAGAAGUGGUCAAUUGUUUGUAGGUUAAUGGGGACAUGGUUAUGUGUAGCCUCCUCAACUCUGGAGUAUAACAAACCAUGUAGGUUAAUGGGGACAUGGUUAUGUGUAGCCUCCUCAACUCUGGAGUAUAACAAACCAUAUGGGUUAAUGGGGACAUGGUUAUGUGUAGCCUCCUCAACUCUGGAGUAUAACAAACCAUGUAGGUUAAUGGGGACAUGGUUAUGUGUAGCCUCCUCAACUCUGGAGUAUAACAAACCAUAUGGGUUAAUGGGGACAUGGUUAUGUGUGGCCUCCUCAACUCUGGAGUAUAACAAACCAUGUAGGUUAAUGGGGACAUGGUUAUGUGUAGCCUCCUCAGCUCUGGAGUAUAACAAACUAUGGUGUAUUUACACAGAGAGCCCAAUUCUGAUGUUUUCUAAUGUGAAAUGAUCUGAUGUGAUUGGUAAAAAAAAAUCAGAAUGGGGCAGUCUGUUUAAAGCAGCCAGAUAUCUUCAGGUCUUGAUCAAGACCAUAAAUUGAUUUUUUAAAUGGAAGCAACUGGUGUAAGUAAUAUAGUGGAAAACCCCAUCUACCUACACCAGUCCAACCAUUCUGUAUUAUAGGGAAGAGUGCAGGUUUGACACUGAAAACUGUCUCAUAAAUCUCCCACUUCUAACCCACUCCUCUUUGGGGCACACUUUGUUAAACACUUGAAUCCCUGAACUCCAAACUGGUUCAGACGAUGACUGGUUAUCAAUGCUAAGGUGAUGACUUUACUGAUAUGGAAUUUACAACAGCAACAAUUGGUUACAGCAAUGACGUGUUAGGGUAAUGACUGGCAGUGAAUUUGGUGAUGACUACUGGCAGCCAUGACUCAUGGCAUUGACUGGUUAGUGAGUAGGUGAAUAGAAGAGUCCCUCAGGUCUUCGAAGCUCUAGUGUCCAUAAUGGACAGGGCUUUAUUGAGCCUUACUGCUGUGAACUUGGCAUGAUGCAGCAUAGCAUAGGGUUAUCCAGUUGUAAUCCUACCCCCUGUCUGGGCACCCAGCUGGUGAUGUUGCCAUUGUGCCACACUGACGUGUGUUUUCAGGUCUUGUCAGCAAAAUGAAACCGGCCAGGGUAAUUUUCCAGUUACAGUUACCAUAUGCAGUGCCUAAACCAACUCUGUCCAUAAGUGGUUUUAAAUGUUUCAUUCAGACCACACUGCAAAAAUGUUGCCAAUGGAACAAGACAAUUUAACUAUAUUUGAGGAGAUAUUUGCUUGAAAUAAAUAAAUAAUAAUCUGACAAUGAAACAAGAUAAAUUACAUGAUAUUCAAGGCAUAUUUUCUAAAAACAAGCAGUAUGAUCUAGCUUGUUAAGAUUUAGCUUGUUUACAU